AGCGAACGCUGGCGGCAGGCCUAACACAUGCAAGUCGAGCGCCCCGCAAGGGGAGCGGCAGACGGGAGAGUAACACGUGGGAACGUACCCUUCAGUUCGGAACAACCCAGGGAAACUUGGGCUAAUACCGGAUACGUCCGUAAGGAGAAAGAUUUAUCGCUGAAGGAUCGGCCCGCGUCUGAUUAGCUAGUUGGUGGGGUAACGGCCCACCAAGGCGACGAUCAGUAGCUGGUCUGAGAGGAUGAUCAGCCUCACUGGGACUGAGACACGGCCCAGACUCCUACGGGAGGCAGCAGUGGGGAAUAUUGGACAAUGGGCGCAAGCCUGAUCCAGCCAUGCCGCGUGGAUGAUGAAGGCCCUAGGGUUGUAAAGUCCUUUCGGCGGGGAAGAUAAUGACGGUACCCGCAGAAGAAGCCCCGGCUAACUUCGUGCCAGCCGCCGCAGUAAAAC
rnacentral:rRNA from 1 species